CUACACAUCAAAUAAUAAACUUGAGUUGUUGUGCCUUCACAACAACUCUGUGUUUGUCUUGCCAAAGACAUCUGAGUGGUUUGGUCCCAGUGGAGAAUGGAAAGGACCCCUCAGCCAAAUGGAAGUUGUGGGGCUGUCUAAUUCAGUGGUUUAAUCUCUCUUCACUCAGUCAGCUGAAAUGGCCUGAGGAUCACACAGAAUGGACAGGUCGAGUGAGGGACACCUGCUGAGCCAAGCUCCCAGUCCAUCCCAUCCUCCAAAUAAUCCCCACAAAACUCCUGCAGCACAAAACCGCAGCAGCAGUUUACCUUUUCCAAAAGGGGCCAGGAGAAAGGGAAAAGGGACAUGUUCACUACCAGGGGAUGGCCAAGAAAAUUUACAGCUUUCCAAGAGACCGUCAGUGUCACGAAUUAGAUACAGAAAUAGAGAUAAUCUUUAUUUCCAGAAAAGAGUUAUCCACCUGCACUUGAGAGCAGUGUGGGGCAUUAGCAGUGUAAAAUGACCUCGGGUCAAGGACGAACAGUAACAGCAUGUCUUACACAGAAACACAUCAACAGACUGGGGAGAAGUUGGCAAGACCUGCACUGGAUUCUAUAGAUAAAGAUGAUUUUACAGUGCCUAAAGCACUUUCAUAUAACCCUGUAGUGUCUGAUGAAGACUUUUUCUCUGGCAUUGAACAAUUAAUGAAAUUUAAAGCCUCUUGCCGUUGGAAAGUCACACAUGAUUUAUAAUACAAGUAGCUCCUUCUGCCUCCCAAGAUUAAAUGCAGGUAGUCACAGAAUUCUUUUUGAAUGCAAAAUAAUGGUGUUGUUAUAGCUGUGAUGUUCUAAAAAUAUAAAUAAGGUUACAAAUGUGAAAAAAAAAUAGUUGCCUCUUUCUGUAGAGCUUGCUGGAAGUUAUUUACAUUUCCUCCCUUCCCAGAACCAUACUCAGUUACCUCAGACUUGGACUAUGGCACAUACUAAAUCACAAAUGUGAAAACUAAGUUUGCAUCUGGCAUUCCUUCACUUCAGAAGGAAACACCACACAAGGUGUUUUCUUCAAACUUCUCUGCUCUGAGGUUCUAAGUGUGGCUGGUGUCCAUUCACUUGGACCUCUAUCAAGUAAUGACAUAAAGCCUGUGCUACUUGGCUGUUCUCUAAUAGCAGGAGCCUUAAAAAAUUAGUAAAAAAAGACAAAAAGGAUGAAACAAAAAGGAUGAAAUAAAAGAGAGAAAAGUUAUCA
rnacentral:lncRNA from 1 species